UAUGGCUCAGGACGAUCGCUGGCGGCGUGCCUAAUACAUGCAAGUCGAGCGGACAGAAGGGAGCUUGCUCCCGGAUGUUAGCGGCGGACGGGUGAGUAACACGUGGGUAACCUGCCUGUAAGACUGGGAUAACUCCGGGAAACCGGAGCUAAUACCGGAUAGUUCCUUGAACCGCAUGGUUCAAGGAUGAAAGACGGUUUCGGCUGUCACUUACAGAUGGACCCGCGGCGCAUUAGCUAGUUGGUGGGGUAAUGGCUCACCAAGGCGACGAUGCGUAGCCGACCUGAGAGGGUGAUCGGCCACACUGGGACUGAGACACGGCCCAGACUCCUACGGGAGGCAGCAGUAGGGAAUCUUCCGCAAUGGACGAAAGUCUGACGGAGCAACGCCGCGUGAGUGAUGAAGGUUUUCGGAUCGUAAAGCUCUGUUGUUAGGGAAGAACAAGUGCGAGAGUAACUGCUCGCACCUUGACGGUACCUAACCAGAAAGCCACGGCUAACUACGUGCCAGCAGCCGCGGUAAUACGUAGGUGGCAAGCGUUGUCCGGAAUUAUUGGGCGUAAAGGGCUCGCAGGCGGUUUCUUAAGUCUGAUGUGAAAGCCCCCGGCUCAACCGGGGAGGGUCAUUGGAAACUGGGAAACUUGAGUGCAGAAGAGGAGAGUGGAAUUCCACGUGUAGCGGUGAAAUGCGUAGAGAUGUGGAGGAACACCAGUGGCGAAGGCGACUCUCUGGUCUGUAACUGACGCUGAGGAGCGAAAGCGUGGGGAGCGAACAGGAUUAGAUACCCUGGUAGUCCACGCCGUAAACGAUGAGUGCUAAGUGUUAGGGGGUUUCCGCCCCUUAGUGCUGCAGCUAACGCAUUAAGCACUCCGCCUGGGGAGUACGGUCGCAAGACUGAAACUCAAAGGAAUUGACGGGGGCCCGCACAAGCGGUGGAGCAUGUGGUUUAAUUCGAAGCAACGCGAAGAACCUUACCAGGUCUUGACAUCCUCUGACAACCCUAGAGAUAGGGCUUUCCCUUCGGGGACAGAGUGACAGGUGGUGCAUGGUUGUCGUCAGCUCGUGUCGUGAGAUGUUGGGUUAAGUCCCGCAACGA
rnacentral:rRNA from 1 species